rnacentral:rRNA from 1 species
GACGAACGCUGGCGGCGUACUUAACACAUGCAAGUCGAACGGAAAGGCCCUGCUUUUGUGAGGUGCUCGAGUGGCGAACGGGUGAGUAACACGUGAGUAACCUGCCCUUGAUUUUGGGAUAACUUCAGGAAACUGGGGCUAAUACCGGAUAGGAGCUCCUGCUGCAUGGUGGGGGUUGGAAAGUUUCGGCGGUUGGGGAUGGACUCGCGGCUUAUCAGCUUGUUGGUGGGGUAGUGGCUUACCAAGGCUUUGACGGGUAGCCGGCCUGAGAGGGUGACCGGCCACAUUGGGACUGAGAUACGGCCCAGACUCCUACGGGAGGCAGCAGUGGGGAAUAUUGCACAAUGGGCGGAAGCCUGAUGCAGCAACGCCGCGUGCGGGAUGACGGCCUUCGGGUUGUAAACCGCUUUCGCCUGUGACGAAGCGUGAGUGACGGUAAUGGGUAAAGAAGCACCGGCUAACUACGUG